GUGCUUGCUUCAGCAGCACAUACGCCAAAAUGGAAACAAUACAGACAAAAUUAGCAUGCCCCUGCACAAGAAUGACAUGCAAAUUUGUAAAGCAUUGCAUAUUUUA
ensembl:snRNA U6 U6 spliceosomal RNA